CCCCUAGUAACUGCGAGUGAAGCGGGAAAAGCUCAAAUUUAAAAUCUGGCGGUCUUUGGCCGUCCGAGUUGUAGUCUGGAGAAGUGCUUUCCGCGCUGGACCGUGUAUAAGUCUCUUGGAACAGAGCGUCAUAGAGGGUGAGAAUCCCGUCUUUGACACGGACUACCAGUGCUUUGUGAUGCGCUCUCAAAGAGUCGAGUUGUUUGGGAAUGCAGCUCAAAAUGGGUGGUGAAUUCCAUCUAAAGCUAAAUAUUGGCGAGAGACCGAUAGCGAACAAGUACCGUGAGGGAAAGAUGAAAAGCACUUUGGAAAGAGAGUUAAACAGUACGUGAAAUUGCUGAAAGGGAAACGCUUGAAGUCAGUCGCGUCGGCCGGAACUCAGCCUUGCUUUCGCUUGGUGCACUUUCCGGUUGACGGGCCAGCAUCGAUUUUGAACGUCGGAUAAGGGUUAGAGUAAUGUGGCACCUUCGGGUGUGUUAUAGACUCUAGUCGCACACGACGGUUGGGAUCGAGGAACGCAGCGCGCCGCAAGGCAGGGGUUCGCCCACUUUCGCGCUUAGGAUGCUGGCAUAAUGGCUUUAAACGACCCGUCUUGAAACACGGACCAAGGAGUCUAACAUACCUGCGAGUGUUUGGGUGGAAAACCCGAGCGCGUAAUGAAAGUGAAAGUUGAGACCUCUGUCGUGGAGGGCAUCGACGCCCGGACCUGACGUUCUCUGACGGAUCCGCGGUAGAGCAUGUAUGUUGGGACCCGAAAGAUGGUGAACUAUGCCUGAAUAGGGUGAAGCCAGAGGAAACUCUGGUGGAGGCUCGUAGCGAUUCUGACGUGCAAAUCGAUCGUCAAAUUUGGGUAUAGGGGCGAAAGACUAAUCGAAC
rnacentral:rRNA from 1 species